rnacentral:rRNA from 1 species
AUGGCGAGCUCGGCGCCUCCCUUCCUCUCCCUCCUCCUCCUCGUCCUCGUCGCUGCUGCCGCGGCGGCCUCGGCCUCGGAAGAGCGCCCGCGCGUCACCCCCACCUUGGUCCAGUGCCACCCUCCGCAGGCGCAGGCAACCGCCAACGCCAGCAGCGCCAAGAACGCCACGGCAUUCCGCGCCAACGUGAUGUCCCUCCUCGCCAAGCUUCCCUCCGCCGCGGCGCCCACGGGCUUCGCCUCCCUGCGCUCCGCCGGAGUGGUCGGACGCGACGUCGCGUUCGUCCGCGGGCUCUGCUUCGGGUACGCCACGCCGUCCCAGUGCCGCGAGUGCCUGGCCGCCGCGGCCAGGAAGCUCGCCGACGCCUGCGGCGCCCGCGGCCGGCGCGCCGGCGUCUGGACAGACGGCUGCUUCGCGUCCUACGCCGACGUGAACCCCUCCUCGCCCAGCUACGACGGCUUCCGCGCGCGCAUCAUCACCGGUGCCGACGCGCUCAUCACCAGCACCUCCUACGAGCUGCAGAGCCUCGCCGACCUGGCCUGGCGCAUGGGGCCAGUCGCGGCCACCAACGCGGGGAUGCAGGUGGCCGUGGACUGGACAGCCGCGGCGAGCGACUACAGUAAGAACAGCACGGUGCGCGUGCUGGCGCAGUGCGCGCGGGACCGCACGGCGGAGGAGUGCGCGUGGUGCGUCCAGUACUCGGCGCGGGUGGCGGAGACCUGCGCCUGGUCCUGGUGCCCCCGGCAGUCGGCGCGGGCGGGGGACACCUGCUGCUGGGGCCUCGACGCGUGGCGCGACGGCGUGGCCGGCGCCGUCGUCGGCUUCGACUGCUACCUGCGCUUCGACGUCGCCGUCGCCACCGCCACUGCGCCGGCGCGGGUGCCCCUGCUGAAAAGGAUCGGGAAGUUGAUGAACGAUCACCCUGUCCUCGCCGCGGCGUUCGGGAUAGUCGGCGGCGGGCUGGCCGUGGCAGCAUUCUACGUGCUGAUUGAGGGGAUCUGCCGCUGGAUGGAGAGCAAGAUCAGGCCCGUCAACAACGCCCCAGUUGUGCCAGUAGCAGUUGCAGGGCCGGCGGCCGUCCGGGCGGGAGUGGAGAUGAACCCCCCGCAGCCGCAAGCCAGGGUGAUGGACUGA